AGAGUUUGAUCCUGGCUCAGAACGAACGCUGGCGGCAGGCUUAACACAUGCAAGUCGAACGUGAAGCAGGAGCUUGCUCCUGUGGAAAGUGGCAGACGGGUGAGUAACGCGUGGGAAUUUACCCAGUGGUUCGGAAUAACGCAUGGAAACGUGUGCUAAUACCGGAUACGCCCUCCGGGGGAAAGAUUUAUCGCCAUUGGAUGAGCCCGCGUCGGAUUAGCUAGUUGGUGAGGUAAUGGCUCACCAAGGCGACGAUCCGUAGCUGGUCUGAGAGGAUGAUCAGCCACACUGGGACUGAGACACGGCCCAGACUCCUACGGGAGGCAGCAGUGGGGAAUAUUGCGCAAUGGGGGAAACCCUGACGCAGCCAUGCCGCGUGAGUGAAGAAGGCCUUAGGGUUGUAAAACUCUUUCAGUGGUGAAGAUAAUGACGGUAGCCACAGAAGAAGCCCCGGCCAACUCCGUGCCAGCAGCCGCGGUAAUACGGAGGGGGCUAGCGUUGUUCGGAAUUACUGGGCGUAAAGCGCGCGUAGGCGGGCUGGUUAGUUGGGGGUGAAAUCCCAGGGCUCAACCCUGGAACUGCCCUCAAUACUGCCAGUCUUGAGUUCGAGAGAGGUAAGCGGAAUUCCUAGUGUAGAGGUGAAAUUCGUAGAUAUUAGGAAGAACACCAGUGGCGAAGGCGGCUUACUGGCUCGAUACUGACGCUGAGGCGCGAAAGCGU
rnacentral:rRNA from 1 species